rnacentral:tmRNA from 1 species
GGGGCUGAUCGGUUUCGACUUCGGUCGUUCGAUCCAGGAGAAGCGGGUCGAGGAUCCAAGGUCACCUCGUUAACGAUCCUUGGAAACCAUAAGUGCCAACGCUAAGCGCACUGACUUCGCUCUCGCCGCCUGAGGCGAGUAACGCGAAGGGUCGGUCCGGGGGCGCCUCCGCCCCGGUCGCCGGCCUCAUCUAGGAGGCUUGCUACCCAGACCCGGCCGCGGGGAUCUGGGCGGGACAUCAACAGCGGCUGGGCCCGUCAGCGACUUGUCUGUGAGAGCGCUGGGGCCGAGAAAAUCGUCUAGCAGACUGCACCCGGAGAAGACCUGGUUCAGCGUCGAGGGACGCGGGUUCGAUUCCCGCCAGCUCCACGA